rnacentral:lncRNA from 1 species
AAUCAUCAUCUUGUUGUUGGACAAGAAAAUUUUUGCAACCCUGGCAACCCUGGCAAUUUAAAUGAUUCAACAAACAUGGCUCAAAACCCGGUCAAUAGUUUUAAUAGUCUUUUGGAUUCAAUCAAUACAUGGGCAAAGCUAGGAACUGUUAAAGCUGUUAUUGAUUGAUUGGAUUGUGAUUGCAUUAACCAAUUUGAGAUGGGUUCUUGAUUGCAUUAACGGAUAUGCAAUUGGUUUGUGAUUGAUAUCAUUGGCUGAUAAGUCAUUUGUUUGUAAUUAGUAUCAUUGACUGUUAGCGAUUAGUGCGUGAUUGGGAUCAUUGACUUAUAAACUUAAUUUGUGCA